CUGCUCAAUGAAAUUUUUAAAUAGCCGCAGUACUUUGACUGUGCUAAGGUAGCAUAAUCAAUUGUCUCUUAAUUGGGGACUAGAAUGAAUGAAUUUAUGGUUAAAUAUUUUAUUUAUAUGUCUUAUUAAAAAUUAUUUAUUAGGUGAAAAUCCCUAAAAACUUUUAUUAGACGAGAAGACCCCAGGAAUUUGUUUUUUUUUUAUUGGGGCGAUAUCUAAACAUUUAAACUUUAGAUUUUAUUAUAAAACGAAUAAUUUUAAUAAAGGAAAAAUUACCCUGGGGAUAACAGCAUAAUUUUUUUAAAAGAUUGUGACCUCGAUGUUGGAUUAAAAAAUUUUUUACUUAAAGAGUAAGAUUUAAUGUUCUGUUCGAACACUUUUACUUCUACGUGAUCUGA
rnacentral:rRNA from 1 species